rnacentral:rRNA from 1 species
AGUGAACGCUGGCGGUAGGCCUAACACAUGCAAGUCGAACGGCAGCACAGUAAGAGCUUGCUCUUACGGGUGGCGAGUGGCGGACGGGUGAGGAAUACAUCGGAAUCUACUUUUUCGUGGGGGAUAACGUAGGGAAACUUACGCUAAUACCGCAUACGACCUACGGGUGAAAGCAGGGGAUCUUCGGACCUUGCGCGAUUGAAUGAGCCGAUGUCGGAUUAGCUAGUUGGCGGGGUAAAGGCCCACCAAGGCGACGAUCCGUAGCUGGUCUGAGAGGAUGAUCGGCGGCAGUGGAAAGGAGACAAGGUCAAGACUGGACAGGGAGGGCGGAGUCGGGCAUAUGAAGCGAGGGGAGGAAGCGAGACGGAGCAACCCCGAGUGGGAGCAGAAGGCAUACGGAUAGUAAAGAGCGGUGAUUGGGGAAGAAAAAAUGGGUGAGGAGCUGUGGACGUAAUGACGGUACACAAUAAGAAAGCAACGGAUACCUACGUG